AUUAUUCUUGAAGAAGCAUCCUUUCUGUAUGGAGUUAGCCUUGCAAGCAAAAGAACAUUAGAAGCAGCACCCAGACCAGGUCAGUAGCCAGCCAGAAGUGAGUAGGGAUUGCAGGCAGGAGGUGGCAGCCUCGAGUAGCAGCACACUGCUCUCUGCUCAGUUACACUCAGACCUGAAUACUAACAGGAGCUGGGUGUAAGUAGCUUAGGGUUUUGGUCCUUGCUUUAAGCACUGCGGCUUGAAGAUGGAAACCAAACUUUGUCCCUCGUGCCCAGUAAUUAAAAAUGUCACUACGUUGCAAUAUAGUUGCAGUGUUGGAGUUGUAUAGGUUUUCUUAGAAUAUUGAAUAUUUUGUUCAAUAUCUGCUGAGGGAAGGAGCGUAGGGCUCUUUAUUUAAUCCAUCCCAUUCUCAUCUGGCUUCAUUUCUUCUUCUGAGGAAAAUUAUGUUGCAGACAAGAAUAAGUCCCCCGCAAAACACUGUACUGUUUUGUUUGUGUGUCUAAUUCUCAAGCCCCAUCCUGGAAAGCUGAUGGUCCUCCAUGGCCUGGCUAUAGCCCACAAGGAGAAUUCUGCCUCUCUCGUGAGCUACAACGAAGUAAUGGUAAAUGAACCUGCUUUGAUUAAAAACGUCACUGACUGAACUGUUCUAAUCAACAAAACCUUGCAAUUAUCCUCUCUCAGCAGAGAGAGGAACUUGAUGACAUCAUUGUUUUUUUCCCUUUGAAAAUGCUUAGUUGGAAGAAGACAAAAAAAGAUUAAGUGAAUCACAUGCAACAUCCCACUUGGAAUCUCUGAAUAAUCCCAAAGGCUGCCAUUCACUGCAGCCAUCAAAAUGGAAGCCAACAGAGUUCUGCAAUGUUGCUUUUUGCCCCCUGGGUGGGUGUUCAUGGUAGAAAAUUUCCUUGUUCAUUUUAUUGUAAGAUCUGUGUAUCCCUUGACUGUUUUUUUUUUUACUGGAGUCCCACAUUGAGAACAACAUAUUCUGGACCAAAUCUUAGUUUACAUGUAAAUCCUUGCUUUAAAAGUUUACAUGUAGCAAGUGUUACAUCUGACAUCCUUCAAAUGGGAUCCUUUGGUUAAGAUGUGUGCACAGAUCUGUUCCCCACAGGGAAAAUGGUCUACCUGGACAGAUUGGAAUACAUGACUGGGUUUUCUGUAAUAGUUUAAUCCUUUAGAUACAGAAGACAUUGUCACAAACGGUUUUGUUUAAUCUUUUCAUUAAACAAACAUAUUCCUAAGUUUGCAUAAGCAGUCACCCAGCUGUGACUUCCACACAGCCUCAGUAACUGGGAGGGUGUGGUGAUUACAUUUCCUCAGGGACUUUCCUUCCAUCUGACUACCAAAGAGUAAUUCAUUCCUGAGUUCACAUCAUUUGUUUGCUCUGUUUCUUCAGCCUUCGCCUGCAGGAGAUAAAUGGGUGAGGUAACAGUGGUCUUUCUAAUGCAAAAGAGUGAGGGAUGAUUUGUUGAGCCAGAUUCCCUAAAGAAAGAAGGCUUGUGUGCACUGAUUUUGUCUGGCCCAACACCCAGCACUAGGACAUGGAAUUCCAUUGGCCAAUUCAAUAUGAAAAAGAGAAGACUCCAGUUCUCUGCCAUCCCAGCAGUUUUAUGAAAGGAGAUGGCUGGGAGCAAGAGAGAAUGGCAUUUAUUUUUUCCUUUAGAAUAUAAGCAGUUUUUCAGAUAUCAAAAUGAGUUCUUUGUAGUCAAGAUGAGCAUCUGUCUUUGUGUGUUUGUUUGUGUUUAUUUUUUAAAUGAGGCCACUGAAACUGUGCGAGGAUGUGCACACCCUGUUUCAUGCAGCUGAGCAGCGCUGUCAGGACUCUCAGCUGAAGGGCUGAGCCUAACAGCUGUCCUGUGUAAGUGCUUGACCAGAACUGUGUAGUUUUCACUCCUUCACAGCCACAUUACUGGAACAGGAGAAUGUGCCAGAAGAUGUUUUACUUUGUGAAAAAGUCUGAUAGAUUUGAGCCUUAUCGGGUCUGCACUGCUGAAGAAAUAUGCUUUCCUUUUCAAAAGUGUUUGGAAUCCUGCAGCUUCAUUUCUGUUUCUUGGUUUUCUCAGCAUAACAGCAGCAGCAGCAUUGGCUUGUACAGAAUGGCGACAGAAGUGUUUCAGAUCCAGGUGUGCAGUGGAAGAAGGCUUUCCUUGCACAGCUCUGUGGGUCCUUCUAGCUGUUACAUACUGACCUGUCACAAAGGGGGUUCUGUAAGUUCUCCCUAAUUCAUAUUAAGCACAGUUAGGUAGAUUUUAUUAAGCAGUUUAAAAUCCUGUUCUGACAGUUAGCAUCUGGUUUUGCAUCACUUGAAUUAGCAAUACUCCCACUAGCUCUUCUCUUAGCACAUCUGAGGAGUGUUAACCCUAUCCACUGGCAUUACUAGAUGUAAAAGAAAUCAUCUGCGUGUGACCUGAAGCCCUGUUGCCAAUGCACAAGCAUGUAGUAUUGUGGACAUGGCUACAAAAGAGAAGAUAAUUCUAUUUGGAGGGCUUGACUACUCAAGCUCUAUGAACGGAAAAAAAAGGGCUGACCCAUACAAGCCAGCAUCAAUGAGCAGAAUCACAUUUUAAGCCACUUAACCAAGUUGGUUUCUUAUACUGAGAAAAAACUGCAGGUAGAUUGAAAUGGUGUGUUUAAAGUACUACGUCGUCGUUGGGGGCACUAAGGAAUCUAUUCCAAGUGUGGAAAUAAAGUCUUCACCAUGUAUGCACUGGAGGUUCUAAGAAGAAGGGAUGGUUGGAGUGCAAGGGAUAAUCUUGAGCUGUGAGCAGCAUGAGCAGACAUUUAGGGAACCCUAGCUCUCUGUGUGGAAGGAAAAUUUAAGGGAAAUGAGCAGUACAUCCGUGAGCAAUAGAAUUAGCAAAGCCUGAUUUCCGAUGGGUUUGUGUCUCAUUCUGGGCUCUUUCACAUCUAAUCCAGUGCAAGAUCUGAUCCAAGCUUUUUCCCAGGCCUGGAUGAUCUUUGUGUCUGUCGUCGGACAUCGUUUAGUGAACAGGGAUUUGGUACAUCCUUUCCCAUGGCUGAAGGUGCUGUUUGGAUCUCUUCUUCCCAGUUGGCUGCCUUUGUCUGCUAAAGUUGCAACAAAUUUGUAUCUUGAAUUCUUUACUUCACUUACAAACUUAUUUGAAAAGCACACACUGGAUUCAAAAGUUAUUUAAAGGGGAAGUGAAAGCAGCAGAAUAUGCACUCAUACACAAAAUACAAUGGCAUAAGCCAUACAUAUACAAUGUACAGGAAAUCAAAAGAGUUAGAGAAGGCCUCCCUCACUUAUGGUGGUUUCCAGCACUGGUGAUAUCAUUUCAGAUGACGGGGAGAUGGGGAGGGGGGCAGGUUUGGAAUAGGAAGGGUGAAUGGAAGCAUCAUUAAAACCUGCUUUUACUUUGUGACCUUUGAAGUUGUUCCGUACAGAACUGGCGUAUAAUUCUUCAACACUGUACAUGUGUGGUAGGUUCGUUGGUUAAUUUUGAUCUAUUCUUUUACUUUGCAACUCAGUUAUUUAUUGGGUGAGAAAAUGUAUAGUUAAAAUCCCAGAUUUAGUCUAAACGUAAAGUAAUAUAUAUUAUUUUUUCUAAGAGGAAGUUGCACUGGUAUGUAUGGGAAAACAAAAUCCAAUAAGAAGUCUGUGUAUCCAGUAUCCUGCCUGUUUGCAUUGGCUUAGCCAACGUCAGAAUCUGCUCCAGGGAUAACAAAGGUAGCAGAGGUGGGGUUCUUUGGAGCUUGUUAAGCCAUUUUCCUGUACUGGAUGUAAUGUUUGUUAGCAGAUUAGAACUGAACCUUGGGUAUCAUAAAUGAGCUGGUGAUGAGCCAACAGUGUGCCCUUGUGGCCAAGAAGGCCAGUGGUAUCCUGGGGUGCAUUAAAAAGAACACAGCCAGGCUCUUGUUGAUGUGUAGUGAUAAAAUAAGGAGUAAUGGAAUAAAACUUGCACACAGGAAGUUCUGUACAAAUAUGUGGAAGAACUUCUUUGUGGUAAGGAUGACAGAGCACUGGAACAGGUUGUCCAGGGAGGUUGUAGAGUGUCUUUCUAUGGAGAUAUACAGUACCUAUCUGGACACCAACCUGUGUGACUUACUGUAGGGAUCUGCCUUAGCAGGGGGUUGGACUCAAUGAUCUCUUGAGGUCGGUUCCAAUCCCUGUGAUGAUUCUGUGAGUUUGUGGGGUAUGUACAGUAAAGAAGAGCUGUCUUCCAAAGAACUCCAAUUCAGUUACAAGUUCUCAAAGGCAAAUCCUUACAUUUAGCUGAAAGGUAUUCUCCUUCCUUUACAGCAUAUGAAAAAGGCCUGACAGUUUAUUUCUGAAGUGAAAGAAGGAAGUAUCAGCCUGUACUUCUGCCUUUUUCCAUGUAAAAACAUUCAACUGAUACCAGUGGCUGGAUGCUGUACCACAGAGCUGGAAAAUACAGGAUGACUGAGUCAAUAAGAAAAAUUCCUUAUUCCCAAGUAUGAACUCCUUUAUGAGGGCUCAUAUUCUUUAAUUUAAUAAGUAUAAAACAUUGUUCCUUAUUCCAAAGUUCACCUGUCAGGUUACACUCUUGUAAUUCCACUGCUUUAUAAUUGCAGUUAUCUUUCAGUAAGGACCAGAAGUUCUUCUAAAUAAAAACAAGCCUGGGAAGAAAAGAGAAUAUAAUUUGAGGCCUCCUUUAAAUAUCGUGAGGAUUAAAUGCCCCUUUUCUGCAUAUAGUAACACUUUUUAUAGUGUGUGAAUGAGUAUUUUGGGGUAUUUGUUCUUAGCACUGUGAAUGAACCAACUGGUCCUCUUGAUUCUGUGAACGGAAGAAGUCUUUUUUUGUGUGUAACCUUGGCAGUGGGCAUAAGGAUGCUCAUGGAUGAAGGAAAAUGAUUAUGGAAGCUGGAGACUGGGUGAGGUCUUAGUUGUUGUAUCACAACAUGUUCAUUCUACCUUUAACACUCUUCCUUUGAUGCUAAGUAUAUUAGAAGCAUUGUCUGAAUCAUGGAAAACAAGAUUUAUUCACAGAUCCUGGUGCCGCAGACCACAUCCAUAGCAGCCACAGUGUUCUUCUUAGCAUGCUCAGUGUAAGUCUCAGCAUCUCAGAUCACUUUUGGCGUUCCUUGUGUCUCCCUGUAGAUAGAUCAAGCCAAAAGUAAGCUUUACAUCACUACAGCAAGCCAAGCAAGGGACUGCCAGCUUAGCAAUGCUUUGAACAUAAUCAUAUGGGACUUGUAGUGGCAAAGCAGUGCUUAAACAACUCUGACCUUGCUGCAUCUCUUUGGGUCAUUCAGAUGUAAUAAAAUAUACGUGCUGUUGGAGAUGGGAUUCUGAGCCAGCAGUCUUUCAGUGUGACCAACUAUACUGUUCAUAUGCAGAUGCAACAGUUAUUUUAGAUGCCUUGGACAGAUGUAGAUGGGUGUUUCAUGCCAGAAAAAAAAAAAAAAAAAAAAAAAAAGGAGUGGAAAAUGAAAGCAUGGCAGAAAGUUUUCUCAGCUUAGUUGUGAGCAUUCACUCCUCACUGUCUAUGGUAAACCAUGGCAACACCUUCACUAUUGCUGACGUUGCCUGACUUGCUCUGCAGAGGCUGCACACCAACUCCCAUCCCCUGAUCAGUGAUUGGAAAAGUUGCUCACAUGCCAUCUCCACCUGCUACUAUUGCCGUGCAGCAAUAGGUCAUUUCCUUCCCAAACAUGACUGGCUUCUGAUACCAGUGGGAAAUUGGCAGCUCUUCUAUGAAAGCAGUAGGUUCCAGUUUCUUCUUUUGGCUUUUCACUGAGAUAGGAGAGGAGUUGUUAUGGUUAUGUCCCCAGUGCUCUGAGUUAUAGCUUUCUUUCCUACAUAACGGCUUUUUCAAUCAUUAAGUACAAUUAGUAUAUGGAAUCAUAUCUUGUAUUGUAUAAUCCUGUGAUCUUUGUUAUUUUUGGUUUUUUUUCCCAUUGUUGUGGUCUUAAUUCUGAACAAAGCUGCACAGCCUCCAGUGAAAAUGUUUCCCUUCUGCCUCAUGGCCUUUCUUUCUCAUUCCUAUAAGAAGAGAGUGCAGAAUAAAGUUGCUAUCUUGACUUCCAUGGUCUGGCUAAAGAAAUGACAUAGAAGGACUGAGCUGUACCUCUCCUUGUUUCUCUGUCAUAUCAAAAAGGUGAGGUUUAGGAUUGUUCAUUACUCUUCUAAU